AAACAGGUCAUGAAUGGUUGUAAGUUUGUUGCAGACAGAGCGAGAGUUCCAUAGUGCGCAAGUGAAAGGAGUGUGUGCGUAUGGGAUGCAUGGGAUGGAAAUGAGGUUAUGUGUGUUGCUUUUAUUAUAGUUUCUAUAAGGAGUGAGUGAUUGGGUAAUGGUGGGAAUGAGGGUGGGCCCAGGAUUUGGAGAGAUGUCGCCUGAUGCUAAUAGCAGCAAGAUGGAAAGUAAGAGUAGGUGAGAAUGAGAUUUAUAGCAGUGGGGGUGGUGCAGUUUAGUGACAUAGAUUUUAAAUAGAAAGUAGUUCAUGAGAGCUAAGGUAAGGAGAGGAAAGGAGAGAGGGGCCGAUAUAAACUGCAUGUGGAGAAGGGUAAGGUAUGAGCAUGAGAGCUAAGGUAAGGAGAGAGGGGCCGAUAUAAACUGCAUGUGGAGAAGGGUAAGGUAUGAGCAUGUGAGCUAAGGUAAGGAGAGAGGGGCUGAUAUAAACUGCAUGUGAGAAGGGUAAGGUAUGAGCAUGAGAGCUAAGGUAAGGAGAGAGGGGCCGAUAUAAACUGCAUGUGGAGAAGGGUAAGGUAUGAGCAUGAGAGCUAAGGUAAGGAGAGGAAAGGAGAGAGGGGCCGUUAUAAACUGCAUGUGAGAAGGGUAAGGUAUGAGCAUGUGAGCUAAGGUAAGGAGAGAGGGGCCGUUAUAAACUGCAUGUGGAGAAGGGUAAGGUAUGAGCAUGAGAGCUAAGGUAAGGAGAGAGGGGCCGAUAUAAACUGCAUGUGAGAAGGGUAAGGUAUGAGCAUGUGAGCUAAGGUAAGGAGAGAGGGGCCGAUAUAAACUGCAUGUGAGAAGGGUAAGGUAUAAGCAUGUGAGCUAAGGUAAGGAGAGAGGGGCCGAUAUAAACUGCUUGUGGAGAAGGGUAAGGUAUGAGCAUGUGAGCUAAGGUAAGGAGAGAGGGGCUGAUAUAAACUGCAUGUUAGAAGGGUAAGGUAUGAGCAUGUGAGCUAAGGUAAGGAGAGAGGGGCCGAUAUAAACUGCAUGUGAGAAGGGUAAGGUAUGAGCAUGUGAGCUAAGGUAAGGAGAGAGGGGCCGAUAUAAACUGCAUGUGAGAAGGGUAAGGUAUGAGCAUGUGAGCUAAGGUAAGGAGAGAGGGGCCGUUAUAAACUGCAUGUGGAGAAGGGUAAGGUAUGAGCAUGAGAGCUAAGGUAAGGAGAGAGGGGCCGAUAUAAACUGCAUGUGAGAAGGGUAAGGUAUGAGCAUGUGAGCUAAGGUAAGGAGAGAGGGGCCGAUAUAAACUGCAUGUGAGAAGGGUAAGGUAUAAGCAUGUGAGCUAAGGUAAGGAGAGAGGGGCCGAUAUAAACUGCUUGUGGAGAAGGGUAAGGUAUGAGCAUGUGAGCUAAGGUAAGGAGAGAGGGGCCGAUAUAAACUGCUUGUGGAGAAGGGUAAGGUAUGAGCAUGAGAGCUAAGGUAAGGAGAGAGGGGCCGAUAUAAACUGCUUGUGGAGAAGGGUAAGGUAUGAGCAUGUGAGCUAAGGUAAGGAGAGAGGGGCCGAUAUAAACUGCUUGUGGAGAAGGGUAAGGUAUGAGCAUGUGAGCUAAGGUAAGGAGAGAGGGGCCGUUAUAAACUGCAUGUGAGAAGGGUAAGGUAUGAGCAUGUGAGCUAAGGUAAGGAGAGACGGGCCGAUAUAAACUGCAUGUGAGAAGGGUACGGUAUGAGCAUGUGAGCUAAGGUAAGGAGAGAGGGGCCUAUAUAAACUGCAUGUGAGAAGGGUAAGGUAUGAGCAUGUGAGCUAAGGUAAGGAGAGAGGGGCCGAUAUAAACUGCAUGUGAGAAGGGUAAGGUACGAGCAUGUGAGUUAAGGUAAGGAGAGAGGGGCCUAUAUAAACUGCAUGUGAGAAGUGUAAGGUAUGAGCAUGUGAGCUAAGGUAAGGAGACAGGGACCGAUAUAAACUGCUUGUGAGAAGGGUAAGGUAUAAGCAUGUGAGCUAAGGUAAGGAGACAGGGACCGAUAUAAACUGCUUGUGAGAAGGGUAAGGUAUGAGCAUUUGAGCUAAGGUAAGGUGAGGAGAGAGGGGCCGAUAUAAACUGCAUGAGGAGAAGGGUAAGGUAUGAGCAUGUGAGCUAAGGUAAGGAGAGAGGGGCCGAUAUAAACUGCAUGUGAGAAGGGUAAGGUAUGAGCAUGUGAGCUAAUGUAAGGAGAGAGGGGCCGAUAUAAACUGCUUGUGGAGAAGAGUAAGGUAUGAGCAUGUGAGCUAAGGUAAGGAGAGAGGGGCCGAUAUAAACUGCAUGUGAGAAGGGUAAGGUAUGAGCAUGUGAGCUAAGGUAAGGAGAGAGGGGCCGAUAUAAACUGCAUGUGAGAAGGGUACGGUAUGAGCAUGUGAGCUAAGGUAAGGAGAGAGAGGCCGAUAUAAACUGCAUGUGAGAAGGGUAAGGUAUGAGCAUGUGAGCUAAGGUAAGGAGAGAGGGGCCGAUAUAAACUGCAUGUGAGAAGGGUAAGGUAUGAGCAUGUGAGCUAAGGUAAGGAGAGAGGGGCCAAUAUAAACUGCAUGUGGAGAAGGGUAAGGUAUGAGCAUGUGAGCUAAGGUAAGGAGAGAGGGGCCAAUAUAAACUGCAUGUGGAGAAGGGUAAGGUAUGAGCAUGUGAGCUAAGGUAAGGAAAGGAAAGGAGAGAGGGGCCAAUAUAAACUGCUUGUGGAGAAGGGUAAGGUAUGAGCAUGUGAGCUAAGGUAAGGAAAGGAAAGGAGAGAGGGGCCAAUAUAAACUGCUUGUGGAGAAGGGUAAGGUAUGAGCAUGUGAGCUAAGGUAAGGAGAGAGGGGCCGAUAUAAACUGCAUGUGGAGAAGGGUAAGGUAUGAGCAUGUGAGCUAAGGUAAGGAGAGAGGGGCCGAUAUAAACUGCAUGUGAGAAGGGUAAGGUAUGAGCAUGUGAGCUAAGGUAAGGAGAGAGGGGCCGAUAUAAACUGCAUGUGAGAAGGGUAAGGUAUGAGCAUGUGAGCUAAGGUAAGGAGAGGAGAGAGGGGCCGAUAUAAACUGCUUGAGGAAAAGGGUAAGGUAUGAGUAUGUGAGCUAAGGUAAGGAGAGAGGGGCCGAUAUAAACUGCAUGUGAGAAGGGUAAGGUAUGAGUAUGUGAGCUAAGGUAAGGAGAGAGGGGCCGAUAUAAACUGCAUGAGGAGAAGGGUAAGGUAUGAGCAUGUGAGCUAAGGUAAGGAGAGAGGGGCCGAUAUAAACUGCAUGUGAGAAGGGUAAGGUAUGAGCAUGUGAGCUAAGGUAAGGAGAGAGGGGCCGAUAUAAACUGCAUGUGAGAAGGGUAAGGUAUGAGUAUGUGAGCUAAGGUAAGGAGAGAGGGGCCGAUAUAAACUGUAUGUGAGAAGGGUAAGGUAUGAGCAUGUGAGCUAAGGUAAGGAGAAAGGGGCCGAUAUAAACUGCUUGUGGAGAAGGGUAAGGUAUGAGCAUGUGAGCUAAGGUAAGGAGAGAGGGGCCGAUAUAAACUGCAUGUGAGAAGGGUAAGGUAUGAGCAUGUGAGCUAAGGUAAGGAGAGAGGGGCCGAUAUAAACUGCAUGUGAGAAGGGUAAGGUAUGAGCAUGAGAGCUAAGGUAAGGAGAGAGGGGCCGAUAUAAACUGCAUGUGAGAAGGGUAAGGUAUGAGCAUGUGAGCUAAGGUAAGGAGAGAGGGGCCGAUAUAAACUGCAUGUGAGAAGGGUAAGGUAUGAGCAUGUGAGCUAAGGUAAGGAGAGAGGGGCCGAUAUAAACUGCAUGUGAGAAGGGUAAGGUAUGAGCAUGUGAGCUAAGGUAAGGAGAGAGGGGCCGAUAUAAACUGCAUGUGAGAAGGGUAAGGUAUGAGCAUGUGAGCUAAGGUAAGGAGAGGAGAGAGGGGCCGAUAUAAACUGCAUGUGGAGAAGGGUAAGGUAUGAGCAUGUGAGCUAAGGUAAGGAGAGGAGAGAGGGGCCGAUAUAAACUGCAUGUGGAGAAGGGUAAGGUAUGAGCAUGUGAGCUAAGGUAAGGAGAGGAAAGGAGACACAGCAACAGACA